CCUACGGGAGGCAGCAGUGGGGAAUUUUGGACAAUGGACGCAAGUCUGAUCCAGCAAUGCCGCGUGCAGGACGAAGGCCUUCGGGUUGUAAACUGCUUUUGUACAGAACGAAAGGGCUCUGGUUAAUACCUGGGGCAGAUGACGGUACUGUAAGAAUAAGCACCGGCUAACUACGUGCCAGCAGCCGCGGUAAUACGUAGGGUGCGAGCGUUAAUCGGAAUUACUGGGCGUAAAGCGUGCGCAGGCGGUUUUGUAAGACCGAUGUGAAAUCCCCGGGCUCAACCUGGGAACUGCAUUGGUGACUGCAAGGCUGGAGUGCGGCAGAGGGGGAUGGAAUUCCGCGUGUAGCAGUGAAAUGCGUAGAUAUGCGGAGGAACACCGAUGGCGAAGGCAAUCCCCUGGGCCUGCACUGACGCUCAUGCACGAAAGCGUGGGGAGCAAACAGGAUUAGAUACCCUGGUAGUCCACGCCCUAAACGAUGUCAACUGGUUGUUGGGUAUUUGCUUACUCA
rnacentral:rRNA from 1 species